rnacentral:rRNA from 1 species
CUGAAAUCAGGCGGGAUUACCCG